rnacentral:rRNA from 1 species
CAGCCGCCGCGGUAAUACGGAGGGUGCAAGCGUUAAUCGGAAUUACUGGGCGUAAAGCGCACGCAGGCGGUCUGACAAGUCAGAUGUGAAAUCCCCGGGCUUAACCUGGGAACUGCAUUUGAAACUGUCAGGCUGGAGUCUUGUAGAGGGGGGUGGAAUUCCAGGUGUAGCGGUGAAAUGCGUAGAGAUCUGGAGGAAUACCGGUGGCGAAGGCGGCCCCCUGGACAAAGACUGACGCUCAGGUGCGAAAGCGUGGGGAGCAAACAGGAUUAGAUACCCCUGUAGUCCCUGUCUCUUAACC